UGGGGAAUAUUGCACAAUGGGCGCAAGCCUGAUGCAGCAAUGCCGCGUGAGUGAAGACGGCCUUAGGGUUGUAAAACUCUUUCGCUAGGGAAGAUAAUGACGGUACCUAGUAAAGAAGUCCCGGCUAACUCCGUGCCAGCAGCCGCGGUAAUACGGAGGGGACUAGCGUUGUUCGGAAUUACUGGGCGUAAAGAGUUCGUAGGCGGACUAGCAAGUUAGAGGUGAAAUCCCAGGGCUCAACCUUGGAACUGCCUUUAAAACUGCUAGUCUAGAGACCGGAAGAGGUUAGGGGAAUACCUAGUGUAGAGGUGAAAUUCGUAGAUAUUAGGUGGAACACCAGUGGCGAAGGCGCCUAACUGGUCCGGUACUGACGCUGAGGAACGAAAGCGUGGGGAGCAAACA
rnacentral:rRNA from 1 species